GUGCCAGCAGCCGCGGUAAUACGGGGGGGGCAAGUGUUAUUCGGAAUGACUGGGCGUAAAGGGCACGUAGGCGGUGAAAAGGGUGGAAAGUGAAAGUCGCCAAAACACUGGCGGGGUGCUUUCUUGACCAUUUCACUUGAGUGAGAUAGGGGAGAGUGGAAUUUCGUGUGGAGGGAUCAAAUCCUAAGAUAUACGAAGGAACGCCAACCGCGAAGGCAGCUCUCUGGGUCCCCACUGACGCUGGGGUGCGAAAGCAUGGGGAGCAAACAGGAUUAGAUACCCUGGUAGUCCAUGCUGUAAACGAUGUCGACUUGGAGGUUGUUUCCUUGAGAAGUGGCUUCCGAAGCUAACGCAUUAAGUCGACCGCCUGGGGAGUACGGCCGCAAGGCUAAAACUCAAAUGAAUUGACGGGGGCCCGCACAAGCGGUGGAGCAUGUGGUUUAAUUCGAUGCAACGCGAAGAACCUUACCUGGUCUUGACGUCCAUAAAAUUUUUUAGAGAUAAAAAAGUGCCUUUACCGGGAAUUAUGAGACAGGUGCUGCAUGGCUGUCGUCAGCUCGUGUUGUGAAAUGUUGGGUUAAGUCCCGCAACGAGCGCAACCCUUGUUCUCUGUUGCCAUCAGGUUAUGCUGGGAACUCAGAGGAGACUGCCGGUUAUAAGCUGGAGGAAGGUGGGGACGACGUCAAGUCAUCAUGGUCCCUU
rnacentral:rRNA from 1 species